UACGAAGGGGGCUAGCGUUGCUCGGAAUCACUGGGCGUAAAGCGCACGUAGGCGGCUUUCUAAGUCAGGGGUGAAAUCCUGGAGCUCAACUCCAGAACUGCCUUUGAUACUGGAAAGCUUGAGUCCGGGAGAGGUGAGUGGAACUCCGAGUGUAGAGGUGAAAUUCGUAGAUAUUCGGAAGAACACCAGUGGCGAAGGCGGCUCACUGGCCCGGUACUGACGCUGAGGUGCGAAAGCGUGGGGAGCAAACAGG
rnacentral:rRNA from 1 species